UAUUUUACAACUGAAAUAUCAAAAGAGGUGGAGACACGGAGAGAUUCUUGGGCUUUAAAAGAUGAAUUCCAGUAUAGAAUGUGGCCCAUCUGAUAAUCAGAUGCAGUGACACUAGACUGCGCCCAUUCAGACAUAUGCACUUCUGAUUCGCCUGGGAAGAUGCUUAAAGGCCCUGGAACCCUCCAUAGCGUGGCUAGACGGCCCUAGGUAUCGCAUUUCUGUGGGCAGCCCUAACCAGCCACCGCCACAAAGGCCUCCCAGAUGGAAGCUGUUUUCUAGAACCAGCCCAAGUAAGCCAGCCACCACUCUGGUCUGAGAAAACCCUGACCUCCCGUAUUCCCCACUAGUGGGGAAACUCAGUUCUACCUUAAAUUACCUUAAGAAAAUCAGCGUGCUCCUUGUCGCCCCUUCCAGCACGCCAGUCUGUCCCUUGGCAGUCUGAGGCCCAAACGACACAUCCAGCUAGGCCACUGUCAUUUCUCCAUCUCCUUCCUUGCUUCAUGUCAUCAUCUCUGGGUGCCCAAACACACAGUACACCAACAAAAGCUAUGCGACUCUGUUUCAGAGCAGAUUAGCUUUGGAGAAAAAUGCAAUCCUGGCAGAAGACAAUUAAUUCAUUUGAUUCCAUACACAUGGUGCCCUUUCUACCUCACUCAUAGGCAAUUCCUUAAGAGUGUCUUAUUUUUGUUUUUAAACUCAUGAGUUUGUGCUCAGCAACAAGAACCCAGACAAAGAAGCCAUGGCCAUGUUCUUAUUUACAGAGGUUGCCGUAUGAGAAAUUAAUGCCUGCUGUUGCUCAGUAAUUAGGAAAAUUUAGGGCCCUAAUGCUCCAACAUCUCCCAUUUAAGGUUGUAUGUUAUCUGUGUUUUCAUGAGAAUUUGUUGGAUUUCUGUCAUUAAUAACAGGCAUAAACCCGGCAAACAGCGAGACAUGGUUACAUUUAAUCAAUUGCUAUUUGUAUUCAUUAUGCAUGUCCUCCAUUUUGAGUCAUGAAAAAUUGAAAGGCCAUUGCCAACAGAAAGAGGAUCAUGGAUUACAAAGGAUGUAACAAGAGCAGAAGUGCUAUUAAUUGGUCAAUUGUGCCUGUCAGCCCAUUUAAAGUGAUUAAGGCGGAAAGAUUAGAAAGGACAUGGAUGUGCUUGGGAGCAGGAGCUCAGGAACACUGGGGACCCCUUCAGUCCCCAGUGCCCAGAAGAAAACAACAGAACCAAAUGAUGUUUAUUCCAAUUUCAUUCAACAAAUAAUGGAUGAGCACCUUCCAUGUGCCUUAGGCUGUGGUGAACCCAGCAGAAAGCAAUGUAAAUGCAGCCUGUGACCUCAGGGUGACAUUCCAGUGUGUUCAGAACAGAUCGGUGUACAGUGCAGUUCCCAUAGUGUAAGCCACAAAACCCAGCAGCAGGAGGCCAGGAGCACAGUGAUGGCCGGGGAGAAGGAGUCUGGAAGUAGUGUCUGAAGAGAGGUUAAAGUGAAGGAUGCGAAGGUCUGUGUCCAUCACCCCCGUCUCCUUCCACCAUUCAAGAAAGAAGGACAAUUUCUGUAUUUAUAGCUCCUAAAAUAUGAGAUGGCGUUCCUCGGGAUCUCAGAUUUCACAAUGGUGAGGAAGGGAAGCACGAGGCAGGUUUAAUCUUUAUUUGGGCUGGUGUAUGGCCCCACCCUCCCUCAUGAUGCUGGGCGGCAGCAGUGGCCCACAGCGUGGUCAACUACAUCACCACGAAUGUACAUGGAUGUUCUGAGCUUUCUGGACACAGCUUUCAAUAAAUCCCAUGAGAUACUCAACACUUUCCUAAAAGUAGUCUCUGUGUGGGAGAGCUCAUGAAGUGUUAGGCUAGUGAAGUUUUCUGAGCAUAGGUAAGACAGGAGCCAGGAGUCCUGUAGGUUGUGUGUACUAAAAGUAUUCUUGGGACAUUCUUAACCUACCCUGUUUUAUUGGGAUGUAACCCCAUCAUAAGCUGACAUAGAAGGCUUUGUUUUUGUUUUGUUUACUUAUGGGAUUAGGUGAAACACAGCCCAAUGGAUGGCUCCCAAGACAAGAAAUCUCACCCUAUCGAUUUUCUUGUGUGGACCCUUCUUUGGUAGCAAUUUGGUUCAGGUAAACUGGUGGCUGCUUUUGCCACUGUAACUGUGUGCUUCCACACUCUUGCUUCUCAUUCACACCACCCUUUCACCAGCUUUUGGCUUGUCCCACCUUCAGGCUUGCCUUGUCCCUGCAUCUGCACAUAUGCUGUCUGGGAUCCAUGGAAACCCAGUCCUCAGUGCCCCAGCCACCUCCUCAGGGAACCCUUGCCACCAGGGCUCCAUGCCCAGGUCCUCAGCAAACUUCACUUUGCUCUAAUUAGCGCAUCUAUUACAACCUGAGUUAGAUGCUGUCAGCGAACCUACUUCUCAGCAUCUUCCACACUGCAGUCUGAGUGCACUGAACUCCAGUGUGUGUUGCUCACAUGCAGUGACUGCACCGUGGAGGGCCUGA